rnacentral:rRNA from 1 species
CCUACGGGUGGCAGCAGUGGGGAAUAUUGGGCAAUGGGCGCAAGCCUGACCCAGCAACGCCGCGUGAAGGAAGAAGGCUUUCGGGUUGUAAACUUCUUUUAAGGGGGAAGAGCAGAAGACGGUACCCCUUGAAUAAGCCACGGCUAACUACGCGCCAGCAGCCGCGGUAAUACGUAGGUGGCAAGCGUUGUCCGGAUUUACUGGGUGGAAAGGGUGUGCAGCCGGAGAGACAAGUCAGAUGUGAAAUCCACGGGCUCAACCCGUGAACUGCAUUUGACACUGUUUCCCUUGAGUGUCGGAGAGGUGAUCAGAAUUCCUUGUGUAGCGGUGAAAUGCGUAGAUAUAAGGAAGAACACCAGUGGCGAAGGCGGAUUACUGGACGAUAACUGACGGUGAGGCGCGAAAGCGUGGGGAGCAAACAGGAUUAGAUACCCCUGUAGUC